rnacentral:lncRNA from 1 species
GCAUCCUGGACCCUCCGCUCUCGAGCAGUUGUUAAUGCAGCAGAAGCAGAAACAGCAGCGGGGACAAGGUGCCAUGAACCCUCCACACUGAGGCCACAGUAGCGACCCAGGGAAUGAAGGCUCCAUAAACCAUGGCAUGUUGGGUUUGCAGGACUGGCCCACACAGUCCCUGCAGGUGGCAGCCCUCUUGUCUGUUUCUUGCUGUCGAGAGGGUGUAAGUGUUCCACCAGCCCGCUGAGUGUGCACGAAAUGUUCGCAGUGCAACAAAAGAAAAAACCAUCAGGAACUCUCGUUCCCCCGGGGCUUUCCGGAGGGAGAGAGGAGCUGCUGUUUGUCCCACUCGGUUACUGAUAGCACGCCUCUCACCUUCUCCACCGCGCAUGUCCCCAACACGUGGGAAGUGGAAGCUGAGAAGGGAAGGCAGAUGGGAGAAGCCAAUAGGAACUUCUCAGUCCUUUUUUCCUCUUUGGGGAAUAAAAUAGGAAUCCAUUAUGAGUGCUUUGCUGACUGAGAAUGUAGUUGAAAUUAUUCUUAAACAUCUUUUAUUAUUACUCUCAGUAGCAAAAUAUCACACUGAAUUCUUCCAUACACAGGUGUAUUUCUAGUCAGUGUGGAGCAAAGACAGUCCCGUUUGCUGCUCCUGUGAGAGGUCAGUAGUGACAGGACAGGGAACUGACCUCUUAAGCCAGUGGGAGUGUUCCAUAAGGGAGAGGACAAGGCCUCUUGGAAGGUUCUGGUAGAGGCCUUCCUCCAGCCUGGAAACUCCAGCAGGAAAUGCCCUUCACUCUGUAGGUGCUCGAGCCCCAAUCGAGGAUGCAGUGUGGGUGGUGCUGCUGUGCUAGACCAGCAGAUGGCUGCUGUACGAUUUCAGAUUAAUGUUGUUGAUUCCUACACUUUGCAGUAGCGUAGCAAGCAGUCUCAGAAGGCAGGCUAGUCCAUUCAUGGCCUGGAACCCAUUUUAAUAGGUGGAUGCUUUCAGUGUGGUUCUUUUCGUUGAGUUGGUUUUUGUAUCCCCAUCCUGCUUCCCAGCCUCUUGCACCAGUCUCCACCCCUUUAGCCAUAUGCUGUACCGUAGUCAUUGUUUUUUCCCUACCUUGUACAACAUCUCACCAAGAAACAAACAGCAGCAUGGGGCCAGCACUUGGGGCCCAAAAGCCGGUCUGAAGAGGAAGGAAGCAGAAGUGCGAGCAUCGCUGCAGAGGAGCCGGGCUCUGCCUGGUUACAGGCUCUGCCUAGUUACAGGCUCCUGACCUUCACCUCAAGGAUGAAGUUGAAGGCUAUGGGGACAGAUGCACACUGUGCACAGAAGAAAACACAACAGACGCCACUUUGGAGAGGGCAAGAGAAGGAAUAAACUCUAUUUGAUAUUUAUUAGGAAAGAGGACUGAAGAUGUUCUGUGUAGGAACAGAAGGACGGACAGCAUUUCUGUUAGUCAUUUCCUGGAAAAGUAAUAUUUUAAUGGGAAAUUAUGGAAACAAUCUAAAAUGUCCAAUUGCUGUGCUAGGGUAGGGAUUAUUUUCUGGGAGGUGUGUGUGUGUGUGUGUUCUCGAGUGUGUGUAUGCAUGUGUGUGUCCCCACACAUGGCUGUCUACUCUCCCGGAGGGCGUGGGCUACAUGUGGGAAUUAGUGUGGAGCAUAGCUGAAAGACCGCUGUAGAGCAAGGCACAUCCAGGAGCCCAGGGUGCCCCUGGGUCAGGGCAGCACUGAGACGGGGUGAGGUGUCGCUCACUGCUCUUCAGAAGGAGCACUCAAGGCCCCAGGCUUCUCUAGUGCUCUUUUAGUUUGACGUGGUAUUGGGGUUUUUGUUUUGUUGGGUUUUUUGUUUUGUUUUUUUUGGGGGGGGGGUUGGUUUUUUGUUUUGUUUUGUUUUUGAAAAGUCUGAAAGUGAAACCCUUCACUCAAUGGCAAGAAACCGUCUGUGCUGCUCCAGUCCCUCCCUGUGUCAUCCUUGUCCUCUUCCUGUCCCUUCCCUGCUACACCUUCACCCAGUUUGUGAUGUAGGCUCUGCAUUCAGACGCUGCAGCAUUCCAAUGUUGGAAAUGUCACUGGUCCUUGCACCUUAGACCAGCCCCUCCCAGUAGUGCCCACUUCCCAUCUAUAGCCCCAGUCUGCAUGAGAACUCGGUGUUUGGAAUGUCUAUGACUCAGCAGGGCUCCUCGCCUUGCCAUCCUCACUGUGGGUAAUGACGGAGGGGAGGAGAAUCUUCAUCAACUGGUUUUGUGUAAUAAACUUUGGUGUUUUGUUUUGAUUUGAUUUGAUUUGGGGUUGGUUUUUUUUUUUUUUUCCCUGUCUGUCUGUGCAAGAUCUGCAGCUGCUGAAAUCAGCUUUGCCUUUAAUUAAACCGUGUUCUCUCCAACCAGAUA